rnacentral:rRNA from 1 species
UACGUAGGGAGCAAGCGUUGUCCGGAAUCAUUGGGCGUAAAGCGCGCGUAGGCGGCUUCGUAAGUCCGUUGUGAAAGUCAAAGGCUCAACCUUUGAAAGCCGAUGGAUACUGUGAAGCUAGAGUACGGAAGAGGCGAGUGGAAUUCCUGGUGUAGCGGUGGAAUGCGCAGAUAUCAGGAGGAACACCAAUAGCGAAGGCAGCUCGCUGGGACGUUACUGACACUGAGGCGCGACAGCGUGGGGAGCAAACAGG